rnacentral:rRNA from 1 species
UCAGGUGGCCGCAGAGAAUAGGCCCAAGCGACUGUUUACCAAAAACAUAGGUUUCUGCUAAGUCGCAAGACGAUGUAUAGGAGCUGACGCCUGCCCGGUGCUGGAAGGUUAAGGGGAUCUGUUAGAGUAAUCGAAGCAGUGAACUUAAGCCCCAGUAAACGGCGGCCGUAACUAUAACGGUCCUAAGGUAGCGAAAUUCCUUGUCGGGUAAGUUCCGACCCGCACGAAAGGCGUAACGAUUUGGGCACUGUCUCAACAACAGACUCGGUGAAAUUGUAAUUCCGGUGAAGAUGCCGGAUACCUGCGACAGGACGGAAAGACCCCAUGGAGCUUUACUGUAGCUUGACAUUGGGUCUUGGUACUACAUGUACAGGAUAGGUGGGAGGCUUUGAAACCAGGACGCCAGUUUUGGCGGAGCCAUCCUUGGGAUACCACCCUUGUAGUACUGGGACUCUA